CAGUAUUCUUUUGCCAGCGCUUAAUUGCGCGGCGAAAAACCUUACACACUAUGUUUUUUUAAUUUGAAACUAUUGCUUUGGUCUGGCUUAGAAAUAGGUUGGGCCAAAGGUUUUAUCAAAACUUCAAUAUUUAUUAUUGAAUUGUUAUUUUUAAUUUUAUGUCAAUUUGUUGAUUAAUAUCAAAAAUCUUCA
rnacentral:misc_RNA from 1 species